UGAACGCCGGCGGCGUGCCUAAUACAUGCAAGUCGAGCGAACAGACGAGGAGCUUGCUCCUCUGACGUUAGCGGCGGACGGGUGAGUAACACGUGGAUAACCUACCUAUAAGACUGGGAUAACUUCGGGAAACCGGAGCUAAUACCGGAUAAUAUAUUGAACCGCAUGGUUCAAUAGUGAAAGACGGUUUUGCUGUCACUUAUAGAUGGAUCCGCGCCGCAUUAGCUAGUUGGUAAGGUAACGGCUUACCAAGGCAACGAUGCGUAGCCGACCUGAGAGGGUGAUCGGCCACACUGGAACUGAGACACGGUCCAGACUCCUACGGGAGGCAGCAGUAGGGAAUCUUCCGCAAUGGGCGAAAGCCUGACGGAGCAACGCCGCGUGAGUGAUGAAGGUCUUCGGAUCGUAAAACUCUGUUAUUAGGGAAGAACAAAUGUGUAAGUAACUAUGCACGUCUUGACGGUACCUAAUCAGAAAGCCACGGCUAACUACGUGCCAGCAGCCGCGGUAAUACGUAGGUGGCAAGCGUUAUCCGGAAUUAUUGGGCGUAAAGCGCGCGUAGGCGGUUUUUUAAGUCUGAUGUGAAAGCCCACGGCUCAACCGUGGAGGGUCAUUGGAAACUGGAAAACUUGAGUGCAGAAGAGGAAAGUGGAAUUCCAUGUGUAGCGGUGAAAUGCGCAGAGAUAUGGAGGAACACCAGUGGCGAAGGCGACUUUCUGGUCUGUAACUGACGCUGAUGUGCGAAAGCGUGGGGAUCAAACAGGAUUAGAUACCCUGGUAGUCCACGCCGUAAACGAUGAGUGCUAAGUGUUAAGGGGGUUUCCGCCCCUUAGUGCUGCAGCUAACGCAUUAAGCACUCCGCCUGGGGGAGUACGACCGCAAGGUUGAAACUCAAAGGAAUUGACGGGGACCCGCACAAGCGGUGGAACAUGUGGUUUAAUUCGAAGCAACGCGAAGAACCUUACCAAAUCUUGACAUCCUCUGACCCCUCUUGAGAUAGAGUUUUCCCCUUCGGGGGAC
rnacentral:rRNA from 1 species